CCUACGGGUGGCAGCAGUGGGGAAUAUUGCACAAUGGGGGAAACCCUGAUGCAGCGAAGCCGCGUGAGUGAAGAAGUAUUUCGGUAUGUAAAGCUCUAUCAGCAGGGAAGAAAAUGACGGUACCCGAUUAAGAAGCCCCGGCUCACUACGUGCCAGCAGCCGCGGUAAUACGUAGGGAGCAAGCGUUAUCCGGAUUUACUGGGUGUAAAGGGAGCGUAGACGGCAGCACAAGUCUGGAGGGAAAUGCCCGGGCUUAACCCCGGAACUGCUUUGGAAACUGGGCAGCUAGAGUGCAGGAGAGGUAAGUGGAAUGCCUAGUGUAGCGGUGAAAUGCGUAGAUAUUAGGAGGAACACCAGUGGCGAAGGCGGCUUACUGGACUGUAACUGACGUUGAGGCUCGAAAGCGUGGGGAGCAAACAGGAUUAGAUACCCGGGUAGUC
rnacentral:rRNA from 1 species